AGUGUUCACACUGUUGUAUGGAGCUGCUAAAUAUCUAUCUAUAAUAAUAUAUUGCAGUGUUCGGUUUAAUUCUUAAGUUAUCUAACUUGAUUUUUCUUGUAAAAGCCAAGUAUAAAAGCACUGUGCAACUCUAAUUACACAUCUUAUUGAAUACAUACUUCUUCCAAAAAACCACUAAAAUUAUAAUUGGGGAAUAAAAAAGGCAUAAAACCACAAAGUCAAAUAGAACAGAAGAGGAGACAAUGGAAGACAUGUCAACGUACUAGGAGCUUGAAUUCUAGGAUUUUUUUUUUUUUUUUGGUGUGUGUGUGUGUGUGUGUUGGUGGGAAUUGAACCCAGGGCCAUACACAUGUGAGGCAAAUAUUCUACCACUGAGCUACACCCCCGGCCCAACAUUUUGGGAGCUUGAAAUCAGCAGGCUCGGGUAGUUAUACCUGAGAAUGCUAAAAUCAUCCUUCAAUGUGGGAAAGACAAUAAGAAAUCAGCUGAUUCCUGGUAUAGACCCUUUCCAAGGAAUCAGGGCCCUCUGAAAACUGGGUUAUAGGGCUAGGGCUAUGACUCAGUGGAAAAGUUUUUGCUUAACAUGCUCAAGGUCCUGAAUUCAAUCCCCAGCACCGAAAAGAGAAAAUAGAUUAAAGCAUGGAGUGGGGAAGAAAAACAAGAAGUUUUUUUGUUUGUUUGUUUUUGUUGUUAUUUCGUUUUUGAGAUAAAAUGUUUCACUAUAUUGCCCAGGCUCUGGGCUUAAACUACCAAUUCUCCUGCCUCAACUCCCAGGAGCUGGAGUUACAGGCAUGUACCACCAUGCCCAGCUAAAUUGUAAGUUUUUAAAAGCAGAACUCUAGAAGUCUUCCUUCUGUAUAACCCAGAGCAACUGUCUUCACAUAGCAUGGCAGCAGAGUAGAAUCUUACUCCGAGGACAGAUGUGGUUGAGAUCCUCCUGUAUUCUUAAGAGGUGGAAUGUAACUAAAUGGGAAGACCCAUAGCAGCAGUUGGCUUAGAGAACCAACAUAUACAUAUAAAGUUUCCUAACUUCAGAUCUUCACAGAAAAAGAAGUAUUGCUAGGGCAAGAGUAAGAAAUUUAAAUACAAUAGCAAAAAUGGAAAAACCCUACAACAGAUAGAUUAAAAUUGACAUUGAAGAAAACUCCAGGAUAAGAGGAAGAAAAGGAUAAUGAGUGGAAAAGAAAGAGAAGGGAAGGCCAAUGUGUAACUAUUAGGAAUUUAUUACAGAGAAGACAAAGCAUGAAAUAUUGAGAGAAACCGUACAAAAAGUAACCGAGAAAUAAAGAACUCAAGUGCAGAUUGACAGGGUCACUGAGUAUUUGAUGUAAUAAUGUGACUAUAGAGCUUAUGAGGAUUCUAUCCAUUUUUGUCAGAGCACUUAACAGUCUUUCACUUUAUCAAAUUGGGUAAACAUGAAUUGGAUUAUGGUAUGUGGAGAUUGAAAAGCCUUACCAAAGAGUUCUGUUAAAUGUGUAAGUAUUAGUCUGUAGGAAAGUCAUCUUGGAUUUAUUCAGUACUUUUGUCAGUGAUUUAGGUGAGAAUGUUGACAGAAUUUUGACCAAAUUGAUUUGAAACUAAGAAAAUAAGUUAGGUAAAAGUACAUGAAUGUAAAAAUACUUUGAAUUUAGAGGAAUCUAUUUAAUAGUAACUUGAAAUUUAAUGAACAUAUGUGAGAACCACCCAAAGUACCAAAUUUAUAAGUACUGUUUUCUUUUUCUGGAGGUCAGAGCUGCAGGGACACCAGUAAUAUAGUAGGAAUUUCCAGAUCUGAUAGAAAGUUGGCAGGAUGAUCUCUCAGAUCCCUUGAAAUCCUUAAACUCACAGAUACAUUUAAAUGAAAAUGUAUCACAUAUAAGUAAAAAUGUAAGAACAUUUUGCCUUAACACUAGUCUAGAGUACAACAUACUGUUGAGAGCCACAGCCAAUGGCCCCUGGCAUUUUGCCAGAAGUAAUAAUGGUUGAGAGGUGAGCCAUUAAGAUAAUGCUGGAUUGAUUCAAUUGUAUAUUAGACUUUUACUGUCUGGUAAUAGGAUGGCUCUUGCUGCAGGGCGCCCACGCUACUUUGGAGUUCCUGUUGAGUUCUCGCGGGGUUCUGAGAGUGAGUGCAUGCGCAGCCCAGGGGAGGGAGUUCCCGUUGGUGUGUGGUGUUCCUGGAGGAGCCGUGUGGGUGGCGUUCGGGAGAAUUCCCCAUGGAGUGUGUGUGGAGUGUGCUGGUGGAGUUCAGAAAUAAAGUUUGUUCCUGCUUGAGUGGCUCAUGAUUUGUGCCCAGCCAGACUGCGGCAACAUACCAUCUGCAUUUUGAGCACAUAAUGGUAGGUAUUUGAGAUUGUUAGAUAUAAUUUUUUUUUUUUUUCAGAUACACACCCACCUCUUUUAUUAAAACUUCUAUACGUGAGAAAACAUGCAAUAUUUGUCUUUCUGGGUCUGGCUUCUUUCACAUCACCUAAUGUCUCCCAUUUCCAUCUGCUUUGUUGGAAAUGAC
rnacentral:lncRNA from 1 species